AUGCAUAUAGAAGCUAGUAAACACCUCCAGGAGAUGCAAAAGGAAUUAGAACUGCCACAAGGUGCAAGCAAAACCUUGAGCUGUGUCAAUGGAAUGACUAUUGGCAUCUUAGAAGUUAGAGAUGAAAGAUCUCCUAUCAGCCUGAUUCUUCAGAGACUUACUUGGAACAGAACCUCUGCUGUGGAUCUUAAACCACUCACUCUGGGGAAUGGGAGCACUACAAUUAUGAAAUAUAUUCUUUUCUGCUAUGGGAAAAUCAACACAAUUUGGAAGCAGUCCUGCCUGGAAUUUUGGGAAAUUGAUUCUUCCUCCUUGCCACUUUUCCAUCAAUCAACCUGCAGUCAAUGGAUAACUCCACUCUACUAUGUCUUCUAUCUCCUUUGUGGUACAUCUGAAAGUUGCUGAAUUGGAUCAGGUCAUUGCUUUGACAAUGUUUGUCACAAGGAUCUGUUGUAAACUCUCCCAAGAAAUCUUCCUCUGUGUAUUUGUCUUCUCAAGUCAUUAUGUUGUACCACCAAGUAAAUUAGACAUUAUGCAAAAGUACAUUCGUUUAUGAAAUAUACAGCAGAUAUUCAAAGAUAUCGUUUCCCAGUAAAACAGAAUGUAACAGGAUGUUUGCACACUAAGUAACUAUGUUUACUGUCAUUUAAAGAUCGACAAAUUCAAAAGUUCAUUAAAUUGCCCAGGGGCAUCCAACUAGGAAAUGGAAGAGCCAGGAUCCAAGCCCAGGUCUAACUGAGGGAGAAAGGGAUGUUUCCAUUGAUGUUUACUGUCCUGUGCCCUUCAGUCCCCUUUCUGCCCAUCUCAGAGAAUUUCAAUCUUGGAAUUCCCUCUCCAGUGUAUCCAGCAUUCUCUCAAUCACCCUUUCCCAGACAAUGUGUCUAACUAACAAACAAACGAACCAAUAAAGAAAAAGAAAUGGUCUGUUAAGUAAGAAGCAAAUCAAAAAAAGUAAACCUCCAUACUAUUUGAAUAUUUCCCAUUUUAAAUUUAUUUUCUAGAAGCUCUUUGGUAAGAAAUAAAAAGCACUAAAAAUUUCGAGCUUUGGGCAAUAAUGCUUAAAUCAAUUUCUUUUCAUGUUCACCGUAAAAAGAUAUUGCACUGAUGCUUAAGUCUAUUCCUGUCUUAGUAUUACAGUAUUAGUGUUUUCUGAAACGUAAAGUUCAGAACUUCAAGAUUAUUUUUAAUUUUAGUUUUAAAGUUACAAAAAUUUUAGAGACAGUUUGGGGGAAAUCAAUGAAUAUUUUUGGCAAAAGUAAAAGCAAUAAUAAAUACAAGGACCAGGAUACAGGCAGGCGUAUAUGGUUAGAAAGAGUUUCACUGAGCCAAAAAGCUCUGGAAAGGAGUAAGGGCACCAACUUGCCUUUAAAUAAUGCUGAUCCAAAAUUUCUGCUGUAAUUAGUCAGACUUGUGGAUGAUAGGCUAAUACUUUGAAAAACAUAGAAUUUCUGUCAGGCCAAAGUUGAAGCAUGCUAUAUGGAUUUAGAAAAAAUGCUGUUUUUAUUUUUUUAAACUUUCUGGAUAAUAGCUUUCUUUAGGGUAACAUAGUAAUUUCUUUAAGCACAAAGUUGUUUUAUGACAAUAUCUUGUUAUUGUUGAUGUUGGUUUUAUUACCACCACUGCUGCCAUUGUUAUCAUUAUGUUUGCCAUCCUGUACUAUUUAUUUCAGUUAGUCUUUUAUUGAGUUCACAUGGAACUUGUUCAGAGUAAUGCAUUAUGGUUAAGUAACUCUAUGUAUGUUACAGUUUGGGUUGUUGCAAUAAUCGUAUUUAUAUUCUCAAUGAUUAUCAGAUUUAUAC
ensembl:lncRNA LINC00343 long intergenic non-protein coding RNA 343